UGAGGAAUAUUGGUCAAUGGGCGAGAGCCUGAACCAGCCAAGUCGCGUGAGGGAAGACGGUCCUAUGGAUUGUAAACCUCUUUUGUCGGGGGAGCAACGAAGGCACGUGUGCCAGAAGCGAGAUUACCCGAAGAAAAAGCAUCGGCUAACUCCGUGCC
rnacentral:rRNA from 1 species